UGACUNGAGUGCAGAAGGGGAGAGUGGAAUNCCAUGUGUAGCGGUGAAAUGCGUAGAUAUAUGGAGGANCACCAGUGGCGAAAGCGGCUCUCUGGUCUGUCACUGACGCUGAGGCUNGAAAGCGUGGGUAGCGAACAGGAUUAGAUACCCUGGUAGUCCACGCCGUAAACGAUGAGUGCUAGGUGUUAGGCCCUUUCCGGGGCUUAGUGCCGGAGCUAACGCAAUAAGCACUCCGCCUGGGGAGUACGACCGCAAGGUUGAAACUCAAAGGAAUUGACGGGGGCCCGCACAAGCGGUGGAGCAUGUGGUUUAAUUCGAAGCAACGCGAAGAACCUUACCAGGUCUUGACAUCCCGAUGCUAUUCUUAGAGAUAGGAAGUUACUUCGGUACAUCGGAGACAGGUGGUGCAUGGUUGUCGUCAGCUCGUGUCGUGAGAUGUUGGGUUAAGUCCCGCAACGAGCGCAACCCUUAUUGUUAGUUGCCAUCAUUAAGUUGGGCACUCUAGCGAGACUGCCGGUAAUAAACCGGAGGAAGGUGGGGAUGACGUCAAAUCAUCAUGCCCCUUAUGACCUGGGCUACACACGUGCUACAAUGGUCGGUACAACGAGUUGCGAGCCGGUGACGGCAAGCUAAUCUCUGAAAGCCGAUCUCAGUUCGGAUUGGAGGCUGCAACUCGCCUCCAUGAAGUCGGAAUCGCUAGUAAUCGCGGAUCAGCACGCCGCGGUGAAUACGUUCCCGGGCCUUGUACACACCGCCCGUCACACCACGAGGGUUUGUAACACCCGAAGUCGGUGAGGUAACCUUUUAGGGGCCAGCCGC
rnacentral:rRNA from 1 species